ensembl:lncRNA
GGGAGAAUGUCUUGUUUGUGGCUUGUCAGCAAUUGCUUGAGACAAGCUUCCAUGUGUGAAAGCUACUUGGCAUGAAUGCCUGGGCCGUACCAAGUGUCACCGCAGCGAGAGGGGGAGUCAGAAGAAAAACAGAUCAGACCAGAGCAGACAAUAGGCCCCUAAAGUGUUCCCCCUAAGUUGCUUUGAUGUUGUCCUGGUGUCUUGAUACCAGGAGGCCAGGGAUUGCAGGAAAAGGGUCUUUUUUGUCUUCAUUCACUUUCCCCCCUCAGUUUCUGAAAUGAUUCUCCAGAAUUUCUCCUCAUAAAAAAGGACUGAAUUGUGAGAUUAGUUGGUAUCACUCCAGCUUGACCUAAAAACACCCUUCUGAUUGGGUGGCCCAGAUCAUUCUUGGAAAGCUCUUCUGUGUCCUGAUGUAGAAGAGAGAGCAAAUUGGACAUCGUGAAAGGUGAGGGUCGCCGUUGAGAAGGGCUUCCUGGACUCCUCACCUCCAGGAUGAGCACUGCAGUGUCGUGACCCGUGGGGUUUUGCGCCUGGUAUAUGCUGCUGGGUAGGAG